GCUGCAUGAGGGCUUUCUCUAGAUGUGAGGAGCAUGGGCUACUCUUCGUGGUGGUUGGACUGUAAAUACCUCCAGAGUGAUCUUCUCUUCCCAUUCGGUAGCUGGAGAGGAUUCUCUGCACCUGGAGGAGGAUGGAACCAUAGAAUCAACUUUGUUGGAGGAGGUCAUGGGGAGGACGUGAUUGCUGGUUGAAGUGAGAGAUGGACACAGGCAAUCAGAGGCUCCUCAUUCCCUCCCUUUUCCUUGGAAAAGUAUGUUUCUCUCACCAUUCCCCAUUCCCACAGUAGGACCUGUUUCAGGGACACAGGCUUGAGAGAGUCUUGAUGGUCCCUUGCUGAGACCGUCUGGACUGAAUAUGUGACUGAACCCAGUUAAGGUCUCUGUGUAAACUUUCAAGAUUCUGGUGGGUGGCUGCAGAAAUCUACGCCUCUUUUGACUACCCAAGACAAGCCUUGUAUGUCAGUUCCCUUGCUUACUUAAUCUGCUACCUGCCACUCUGGAGCAAUCUACUUCUUUCUUUGGUAUCUCCUUACUCUCUGUGCAUGGAGGCCAGUUUCAGACUUCACCCCGGGAACUCCUGUGAUUUUAAACAAACAACAAAAAAGACAUAACAACAUGAAGAAGAGGACAUGGAGCAGAUUAUUAAAAAGGGAAGGGAAGAAAGAACCUCUGAAACUCCAUCAAGAUAUGAUAUCAACCUGCCUCUUUUCUACCUUAAAAAUAAAUUAGUUGGCAUUAGUCAUUAACAGCUGAAUAUUGUCU
ensembl:lncRNA